UGCGUAGGCGGCCAAUUAAGUCAAAUGUGAAAUCCCCGAGCUUAACUUGGGAAUUGCAUUCGAUACUGGUUGGCUAGAGUAUGGGAGAGGAUGGUAGAAUUCCAGGUGUAGCGGUGAAAUGCGUAGAGAUCUGGAGGAAUACCGAUGGCGAAGGCAGCCAUCUGGCCUAAUACUGACGCUGAGGUACGAAAGCGUGGGGAGCAAACAGGAUUAGAUACCCUUGUA
rnacentral:rRNA from 1 species